GCAUAUCAAUAAGCGGAGGAAAAGAAACCAACAGGGAUUGCCCUAGUAACGGCGAGUGAAGCGGCAACAGCUCAAAUUUGAAAUCUGGCUCUCGGGCCCGAGUUGUAAUUUGUAGAGGAUACUUUUGAUGCGGUGCCUUCCGAGUUCCCUGGAACGGGACGCCAUAGAGGGUGAGAGCCCCGUCUGGUUGGAUGCCAAAUCUCUGUAAAGUUCCUUCAACGAGUCGAGUAGUUUGGGAAUGCUGCUCUAAAUGGGAGGUAUAUGUCUUCUAAAGCUAAAUACCGGCCAGAGACCGAUAGCGCACAAGUAGAGUGAUCGAAAGAUGAAAAGCACUUUGAAAAGAGAGUUAAAAAGUACGUGAAAUUGUUGAAAGGGAAGCGUUUAUGACCAGACUUGGGCUUGGUUAAUCAUCUGGGGUUCUCCCCAGUGCACUUUUCCAGUCCAGGCCAGCAUCAGUUUUCCCCGGGGGAUAAAGGCGGCGGGAAUGUGGCUCUCUUCGGGGAGUGUUAUAGCCCACCGUGUAAUACCCUGGGGGGGACUGAGGUUCGCGCAUCUGCAAGGAUGCUGGCGUAAUGGUCAUCAACGACCCGUCUUGAAACACGGACCAAGGAGUCGUCUUCGUAUGCGAGUGUUCGGGUGUCAAACCCCUACGCGUAAUGAAAGUGAACGCAGGUGAGAGCUUCGGCGCAUCAUCGACCGAUCCUGAUGUUCUCGGAUGGAUUUGAGUAAGAGCAUACGGGGCCGGACCCGAAAGAAGGUGAACUAUGCCUGUAUAGGGUGAAGCCAGAGGAAACUCUGGUGGAGGCUCGCAGCGGUUCUGACGUGCAAAUCGAUCGUCAAAUAUGGGCAUGGGGGGCGAAAGACUAAUCGAACCUUCUAGUAGCUGGUUUCCGCCGAAG
rnacentral:rRNA from 1 species